rnacentral:rRNA from 1 species
GGAUGAAAGCAAUAGCUGAUUGCAUUUAAUUUAAUGUAGUUACUACUUGGUAGUUUAAAUUUCUAGGUAGAAUUAUGAUGAUGACAUUAUCUAUCUAUUAGUCUUGACCAAAUUACGUGCCAGCAGUCGCGGUAAUACGUAGAAGACAAGUGUUAUUCAUCUUUAUUAGGUUUAAAGAGUACCAAGACGGUUAAUAAAGCCCAAAAGAAAUGAAUACGGGGGACACAUUAACUAGAGUUAUAUGAAAGGAAGCUUUAAGGUACUGUUGAGUGUAGAGAUGAAAUUUAAUGAUACCAGAUGAUUGGCACAGAUUUAUGCGAAGGCAUCUUCUUAUGUAAUAACUGACGUUGUAGGACGAAGGCUUAGGUAAUGAACAGGAUUUGGUACCCCAGUAAUCUAGGCAGAAAAUGAUGAAUGUCAUAGGUUGAAUACAGACGAUUAAAGAGACUAUCUAAUAGUAAAUAGGUGGUUUAUUAAAUAUACUAUCUAAUAAUAAAUAAUCAGUCUAUUAUUGUGUCUAUAAAUGAAAGUGUAAGCAUUCCACCUCAAGAGUAAUUUGGCAACAUUGGAACUGAAAUCAUUAGACCGUUUCUGAAACCAGUAGUGAAGUAUGUUGUUUAAUUAGAUGAUACACAAAAACCUUACCACAAUUUGAAUAUAUAUAAAAUAUAUUUACAAGCGCUGCACGGCUGUCUACAGUUAAUGUCGUGAGACUUUGGUUAGCUCCAUUAAAUUGACGAAAACCCUAAUUUUAUUUAUAAAUAUAAUUAACAUUGCUAUAUUUGAUGUUUAAGAGGGAAURACAGUCAUCAU